GUUCCUAACAAGGCUUCAACGGGUAACGGGGUAUCAGGGUCCGAUACCGGAGAGGGAGCCUGAGAAACGGCUACCACAUCCAAGGAAGGCAGCAGGCGCGCAAAUUACCCACUCCUAGCACAGGGAGGUAGUGACGAAAAAUAACGAUGCGAGGGCUAAUAGCUUCUCGUAAUCGGAAUGGGUACACUUUAAAUCCUUUAACGAGGAUCUAUUGGAGGGCAAGUCUGGUGCCAGCAGCCGCGGUAAUUCCAGCUCCAAUAGCGUAUAUUAAAGUUGCUGCGGUUAAAAAGCUCGUAGUUGGAUCUGGGCUUCUGAAUGGAUGGUGUACUUUUCGGUGCAACUGUUCGUUUGGUGCCACCAGCCGGCCAUGUCUUGCAUGCUCUUCAUUGAGUGUGCAUGGCGACCGGAACGUUUACUUUGAAAAAAUUAGAGUGCUCAAAGCAGGCGUACGGCCUUGCAUAAUGGUGCAUGGAAUAAUGGAAUAGGACCUCGGUUCUAUUUUGUUGGUUUUCGGAACUCGAGGUAAUGAUUAAUAGGAACAGACGGGGGCAUU
rnacentral:rRNA from 1 species